AUUGAACGCUGGCGGCAGGCCUAACACAUGCAAGUCGAGCGGUAGAGAGGUGCUUGCAUCUCUUGAGAGCGGCGGACGGGUGAGUAAUGCCUAGGAAUCUGCCUAGUGGUGGGGGAUAACGUUCGGAAACGGACGCUAAUACCGCAUACGUCCUACGGGAGAAAGCGGGGGGAUCUUCGGACCUCGCGCCAUUAGAUGAGCCUAGGUCGGAUUAGCUAGUUGGUGAGGUAAUGGCUCGCCAAGGCGACGAUCCGUAACUGGUCUGAGAGGAUGAUCAGUCACACUGGAACUGAGACACGGUCCAGACUCCUACGGGAGGCAGCAGUGGGAAUAUUGGACAAUGGGCGAAAGCCUGAUCCAGCCAUGCCGCGUGUGUGAAGAAGGUCUUCGGAUUGUAAAGCACUUUAAGUU
rnacentral:rRNA from 1 species